UAGCAAUGGCUCUUUGUUCACUUUGGUCAUUUGUUUUUCUCUCUAGCUCAGCCUAACCUUUCUUACAUGUCCUAAAUGACAUUUCAAGCUAGUAUUAACUCACUUUAACCUCCAUUUACCACAGAAUUCAGACUUAGCCUCCAACUCUCAAAGUCUCACUCUUUUUCCACUCAUAACAUCACAUUCUCACUUUCUAACCUUGGGUUAGUUCUACCCUUCGUCUCUAACAGAUUUCCAUCAGCAAUUUCAGCAUAUAAACAUCACAAACAUCAUCACAAAAACCCUAAAACAGAAAGGGUAUGUCUAACUCAUCCAAACAUGGCGAUUUCAACAAGUUUUCAGCAAAUGCCUUCACAAAUAAUCAUCACACAGCAGAAAACUAACAAAACCACCCAUCAUAUCUCCCAAAACCCCA
rnacentral:lncRNA from 1 species